rnacentral:rRNA from 1 species
UAAAGCGCACGCAGGCGGUCUGUCAAGUCGGAUGUGAAAUCCCCGGGCUCAACCUGGGAACUGCAUUCGAAACUGGCAGGCUAGAGUCUUGUAGAGGGGGGUAGAAUUCCAGGUGUAGCGGUGAAAUGCGUAGAGAUCUGGAGGAAUACCGGUGGCGAAGGCGGCCCCCUGGACAAAGACUGACGCUCAGGUGCGAAAGCGUGGGGAGCAAACAGGAUUAGAUACCCUGGUAGUCCACGCCGUAAACGAUGUCGAUUUGGAGGUUGUGCCCUUGAGGCGUGGCUUCCGGAGCUAACGCGUUAAAUCGACCGCCUGGGGAGUACGGCCGCAAGGUUAAAACUCAAAUGAAUUGACGGGGGCCCGCACAAGCGGUGGAGCAUGUGGUUUAAUUCGAUGCAACGCGAAGAACCUUACCUG